UUCCAGACUCCUACGGGAGGCAGCAGUGAGGAAUAUUGGUCAAUGGGCGAGAGCCUGAGCCAGCCAAGUCGCGUGAGGGAAGACGGUCCUAUGGAUUGUAAACCUCUUUUGCCGGGGAGCAAAAAGCGGUACGUGUACCGCAUCGAGAGUACCCGGAGAAAAAGCAUCGGCUAACUCCGUGCCAGCAGCCGCGGUAAUACGGAGGAUGCGAGCGUUAUCCGGAUUUAUUGGGUUUAAAGGGUGCGCAGGCGGCGAGUUAAGUCGGGGGUAAAAUUUGGGGGCCCAACCCCGACGAGCCGUUGAAACUGGCUUGCUAGAGUGGGCGAGAAGUAUGCGGAAUGCGUGGUGUAGCGGUGAAAUGCAUAGAUAUCACGCAGAACUCCGAUUGCGAAGGCAGCAUACCGGCGCCCAACUGACGCUCAGGCACGAAAGCGUGGGUAUCGAACAGGAUUAGAUACCCUCGUAC
rnacentral:rRNA from 1 species